rnacentral:rRNA from 1 species
AAGUCGWGGGGCAGCACAGGUAGCAAUACUGGGUGGCGACCGGCAAACGGGUGCGGAACACGUACGCAACCUUCCUUUAAGUGGGRGAUAGCCCAGGGAAACUUGGAUUAAUAYCCCKUAAYAUUWUKRGRUGGCAUCAYYUKAUAAUUAWAGCUCCGGCGCUUAAAGAUGGGCGUGCGCCUGAUUAGGUAGUUGGCGGGGUAACRGCCCACCAAGCCUACGAUCAGUAACUGGUGUGAGAGCACGACCAGUCACACGGGCACUGAGACACGGGCCCGACUCCUACGGGAGGCAGCAGUAAGGAAUAUUGGUCAAUGGACGCAAGUCUGAACCAGCCAUGCCGCGUGGAGGAUGACKGCCCUCUGGGUUGUAAACUCCUUUUAUCUGGGAAGAAAUGCAGKUWUUCUWAWCUGUUUGACGGUACCAGAGGAAUAAGCACCGGCUAACUCCGUGCCAGCAGCCGCGGUAAUACGGAGGGUGCAAGCGUUAUCCGGAUUCACUGGGUUUAAAGGGUGCGUAGGUGGAAUGGUAAGUCAGUGGUGAAAUCUCCAAGCUUAACUUGGAAACUGCCGUUGAUACUAUCAUUCUUGAAUAUC